UACAGAUUUUAAAUGUGAACAUUCAUUGUUGAUUAUGUAUUAACAAGUUUUGUCUUCAGUGCUGGAAGUCUAAACACAACCGUUGUUUUUUCACCAUUCUGAUAAUUUAAUAAUGUCUAUUUUGAGUACUACGCCUGUGAUACAGAGUAUUUGGCGUUUUUACAGCGUGCGCUGGUAUUGAUGAUGUUAUAUGGCUGGUGUGCACGUGCGUCUGUGUUUGUGUUAAAGCAAUACGUCUCUCUGCAUCUGUGUGCUAUUGUGUAUCUGUGUGUGUGUUUGUCAGCUGUUGGGUCAGGCCAUGCCCAUUUCUCCUCCCUGAUUGGAGAGCAGAGGUUGAAGCAGCAGAGCCUCUCAGCAUUCCCGUGAGUAAUGCAAGGCCGCUGAUCCAGGGUGUGUCAACCCACCGCCCAUGCGCUUUCCCCUCGUCUCCCUGCAGCUUAGUGACUGACAAACAGACUCCAGCUCUUGGCCCACUGUUCACCAAACUCUUUAGCUUUACACAAGCACCAUGUUUAUAGUUAUUCGCUACAAUUCAGUGCAUUUCAAAUAAAGAAAAAUCUGAAUAUUGCAAACAUAAUUUGCAAUUAUUUGUAGCACUUCCAUAACUGUGAUCAUUUUGACAGACUUUGGCUUUAUCAUUUAUUCACCUCAGACGGAUGUAUAAAUUUUUUUAUGUGUAAAUAAUAUGCAGCGCAAUACAAGUAAAUAUUUACCAGAUAUUAUUACAUAUAUAUUUUUGUAGCUGUAGUUCAGUGAUUUUUUACACAGUACUAAUGGCCCUGUCUAUGACAAUAUGACAAUGUACACUAUAUCAUUCAAACAUUUCUGUUUUUUUUUUUUGUUUUGUUUUUUACCAACUUUAUGAGAAAGAUUUUUAUUUCUUUUUACGGGUUUUUAUUUACUAAUAUUUGAAAAGCUAUAUAUAUAUAUAAUUACCAAGGCUGCAUUUAUUUGAUCAAAAAUACUGUAAAAACAGUAGUCAUACAGUAAAAAAAAUGUAGUAAAAUGACUGUUUUCUAUUUGAAUAUAUUUUAAAAUGUAAUUUAUUCCUGUGACAUAAAGGUUUUUAGCAUCAUUACUCCAGUCUUCAGUGUCACAUGAUCCUUCAGAAAUCAUAAUAAUAUGCUGAUUUACUGCUCAAGAAACAUUUCUUAUUAUUAUCAAUGUUGGAAACAGUUGUGCUGCUUAAUAUUUUUGUGGAAAUUAUAAUACGUUUUAUUUUUCAUAGAUGAACAGAAGUUUAAAAGAACAACUUUUAUUUGAUAUAAUUCUUUAGUAACAUUAUUAAUGUAUUUACUGUAACUUUUGAUCAAUUUAAUACAUCCUUGUUGAAUAAAAGUAUAAAUUUCUUAUAAAAAGAGAAGAGGGGUUGUUGACCGCUGCCAUAGAUUAAUGCAUGUGUUUCUGGGCAGUUUCGUACCUGACAUAUGUUUCUGUGGAUUGAAAUUACAUUCAUUAAAAAUUCAUCAUGAUAUUUUAUCAGGAUAGGCUAAAACAAACUGCCAUAGUGAUUAAUUUUGAAUAACAGGGUGACUACAGUCAUUGAAUCAGUUCUAUUUGUAAAAAAGAAGACAGAAUAACUAUGCAGCUUCAAAGAUUGGCUUUUAUUGAAAUUUAUGAGAUUGAUUCCAAACCAUUGUGAGUUCAAUAGGAAGUUGAUAUCCUGACUUGUUGCUUCUGGUGGAAAUGAGCAAGCAUGUGACUUGUUGUCCCCAUGUGGGUGUAAGUGCUGGAGUUAAAAUGAAUACCAGAAAUACUUCUAUUAUUAUCUUUAACAUUUAUACACAUUUGUGAGAGAGCAAUAGAAGACAUUGGAAACAUUUUUGAAUAGAAAUUAACAUCUGGUAUGUGCUUUUAUAUUAUCCAGUACAUGAAUCCACAGGAUGUGUGACCUUUAAAGUGCAUUCUGUUUCUCAGUGUGUGUGAACAACUUGUAUCUGGUCUGGAUAAUCUAUCUAGUUCUCCUGUUUCUGACCUCAGCGCAGGUUCAGGAGGCCUGAGGGAUGACAUACACUGAGAUGAAGUGUGCAGAAGAAGGACCUCGUUUCUGUAUCCCAUUAACAUCACCUCGUAAAAUGCUCCUACACGACAUGAGCAAACUGACACCCAUAUGUUAGCUGGCUCAGCUUUCUGCAGACAUGCUAGGAGGGAAUACAGAGAAAAUUGUUUGCCUUAAACUAAAAAUAAAUUUGGUGGUAGAGCACACCACAAGGCUGAAGACCGCUGGCUGGGGACGUCCUGGCCCAAAUAAUCUUCUGCUCUCAGCGAAGGGAAAUGCACCGUUUCCAACAUGCUGUGAUAAUAGUGAAGUGCAAAUGAGACGUGUGGGACAUCAGGCGAUCUCAAAGAGCAGCUCGAGAUUCCACAGGCU